rnacentral:lncRNA from 10 species
UGGCUAAUAGGUUUGCCUGUGAGCUGCGAGGGGGCGGUGUCGGGGAGGAGGCGGCGGCGAGGGGAGAAGGGGUCAUUGUCCGCGCGCUGGCCCGGGCGCCGAGGCGUGUCCCUGCCUGCGCCGCGCGGCUACCCCCGUGCCCGGCGCCGCCGACGGGAAGGCAGCGGCGGGGAGGCCCCCUGGAGGCCUGCUGGGAAAUGGCGGCUGGAGCGGCGGGCGCGUGGGUCCCCUCGGGGAGGCGCCCCAAGCCACGGUCCGCUCCCAAAGAGAAGCCCAGACUGGGCCCACAGUACCCGGGAAGGGCAGGAACCAGACAGAAAUGGAUGGCCGCUUGUUGGUGAAGGACUCACAGUGAGGCAAGGAAGAUCUCUUCUUCAUCAUGUUCCCCGUCACUGACUUCAUCAUGUUCACCGUCACUGAUUUCCCUUAACUCUAUGCCUGAUCAGAACCCACAAACCAAGGAGACACACCUGGUCCUGUUGGUCCAUUUGCUAUUUCGUAGUUGAAUUUCACCUCAGCAUUCUAUAUAGAAGAUUUGUAUUUUUUUCAAUCACAUGCCCUAAUGUAAAUUUCAUGCAUUCAAGACAGUUGAUUGGUUUCCAAAAAAUUAAAUACAGAAUUGCCAAAUACAUAAUAUAACAAUUCCACUUAAAGAAGAGAAUUUAACAGAUCUUUGAACACUAAUGUUCACAGCAACAUUCAUGGCAGCUAAAAGGUAGAAACAACCCAAGUAUCAUCAAUAGAUGAAUAGACAAAUAAAACAUGGUGUAGAGGAUAUGGAGAAAAGGGAACCCCUGUACACUGUUGGGGGGAAUGUAAAUUAGUACAACCACUAUGAAAAACAGUUUGGAGGUUCCUCAAAAAACUAAAAAUACAGCUAUCAUAUGGUCCAGCAAUCCCACUGCUGGGUAUAUACCCAAAAGAAAGGAAAUCAGUAUAUCAAAGAGAUAUCUGCACUCCCAUGUUUGUUGCAGCACUGCUUACAAUAGCUAAGAAUUGGAAUCAACCUAAGUGUCUAUCAGCAGAUGAACGGUUAAAGAAAAUGUGAUAUGUAUACACAGUGGAAUACUAUUCAGCCAUAAAAAAGAAUUAGAUCGUGUCAUUUGCAACAACAUGGAUGGAACUGGAGGUCAUUAUGUUAAGUGAAAUAAGCCAGGCACAGAAAGACAAACAUUGUCUGUUCUCACUUAUUUGUUGGAGCUAAAGAUAAAAACAAUUGAACUCAUGGACAUAGAGAGUAGAAGGAUGGCUACCAGAGACUAGGAAGGGGAGUGGGGGGCUGGUGGCAAAAAUGAGGAUGGUUAAUAGGUACAAAAAAAAAAUAAAAUGAAUAAGACCUAAUAUUAAUAUUUUAUAGCACAAUAAGGUGACUAUAGACAAUAAUAAUUGUACAUUAUAAAAUAACUAAAAAAGUGUAAUUGAAUUAUUUGUAACACGAAGGAUAAAUGCCUGAGGGGAUAGACAUCCCAUUCUCCAUGAUGUGAUAACUUCACGUUGCAUGCCUGUAUCAAGACAUCUCAUGUACCCCAUAAAUAUAUAUAUGUACUAUGUACCCACAAAAGUUUAAAAAAUAAUUUAAGUAUGGUAUAUACAUACAAUGGAAUACUAUUCAGCCUUAGAAAGGGAUGAAAUUCUCAUAUGUGCUACAACAUGGAUGAACCUUGAAGACAUUAUGGUAAGUGAAAUAAGCCAGACACAAAAGGACAAAUACUGUAUUAUUUCACUUAUAUGAGGCAUCUAGAAGAGUCAAAUUCAUGGAGACAAAAAGUAGGAUAGAGGUACCAGAAACUGGGGAGAAAGGGAAAUGUGGAGUUAUUGUUUAACAGACACAAAGUUUCCACUUGGGACAAAGAAAACAUUCUUGAGAUGAAUAAUGGUAACGGCUGCACAAUAAUGUAAGUGCACUUAAUACUUAAAAUAGUAAGUUUUGUGUUAUGUGUAUUUUAUCACAUUAAAGAAAUAUUAUGCCUACAACUUCUAGUAUAAUAGAAAGAGGCCGAGUUUGAAGAUAAGAGGAAGUUAAGAGUCCUAGUUCUGGUACUUGCAGGCUGUGUAAUUUGGGGAAAGUCAUUUAGCCUCUCAAAGGAUCAGUUUUCUCAUGUCUAAAAUGGGACCGAAGGGAUGCAGAAAAAAGUUCUAAGAGGGAAGUUUAUAGCAAUAAACACCAAAAUCAAAAAAGAAGAAAGAUCUCAAAUAACAUAGUAUUACACCUCACUAAAUUAGAAAAAGAACAAACUAAACCCAAAGUUAGUAGAAAGAAGGAAAUAUUAAAGAGCAAAGCAGAAAUAAAUGGAAUAGACACCAGAAAAAUAGUAGGAAAAAAACAAUAAAACUAAGAGUGGCUUUUUUAAAAGAUAAACAAAAUUCAAAAAAGAGAAGACUCAAAUAAAUUCAAUCAGAAGAAAUGAAAUAGGAGACAUUACAACUGAUACCAUGAAAAUACAAAGGAUCAUAAAAGAUGACUGUGAACAAUUAUACACCAACAAAUUGGAUAAUCUAGAAGAAAUGGAUAAGUUCCUAGACACACAACCUACCAAGACUGAAUCAUGAAAAAAUAGAAAAUCUGAACAGACCAAUAACAAGUAAGGGCUUUAAAUCAGUAAUAAAAAUAUCCUAUCAAAGAAAAGCCCAGAAUCUGAUGGCUUCACUGCUGAAUUCUACCCAGCAAUUAAAGGAUUAAAGCAAUUCUCAAACUCUUCUAAAAAAUUGAAGAAGAAAGAAUAAAAUGAAACAAUAAUCACUAGUUUGCGUGGUUGUUCUGAGAUUUAGAGAUAAUACAUGUAAACACCUAACAUAAUAUCUGGUCUCCAGUGAGUGCCAUUAAAUGGUAUUCUUAUGCACAUUUCAGCCUGGCAUGGUGGCUCAUGCCCAUAAUCCCAGCACUUUGGGAGGUCAAGGUGGGUGGAUCACUUGAGCCCAGGAGUUCCAGACCUGCCUGGGCAAUAUGAAGAAACCUCAUCUCUACAAAAUUACAAAACUUAGCCAGGUCUGGUUGCACACACCUGUGGUCCUAGCUACUCGAGAGGCUGAGGUGGGAGGAUCGCUUGAGCCCAGAAAGUUGAGGCUGCUGUGAGCUAUGUUCAGGCUACUGCACUCUAGCCUGAACGACAGAAUGAGACCCUGUCUCAAAAAAAAAAAAAAAAAAAAAUACACAUUUCAAUUCAAAGAAUAAUACAUGUAAAGAACAAAUUCACUUUUCAAAAUUUGAAAUUAUAUACAUAAAUUAUGUAGGUCACUCUUACCAAUAACUGUUUGCUAAAGAGAAAUUGUUUAAUACCAAAAUACUUUAUUCUAAGCUUUGCUUUCACCAUCAAUUCUAACUUGGUCAUAAAUCACAGCAAUAAAGGCUGCCUCCAUGUGAGUCUGAAUGUCUAAGCUCCAAGAGCCAAAAGAUGAUUUUGUUUUUCAUCUACCUUUGGGUUCCAGCUUACAAAUAUUUUCAUUAAACAUCUAAUGACUUUGCAAUGAAGUUACUAUUUCUCUGUUCAGUGCCCAAUUUAAAGCUAAACAAGUGGAAAGAUUUAAUAUAAUUUAAUAUAAUUAUUGCCUCAUAAAAUAUCUAGGGUUGGAAUUAAUCCCUAAAUUACCUGUACGUAUACAUAACUUUAGGAAGACACACUAAGUAAAAAGCAAUUCCUUUUGUGCUGUUUUGUAAGGUUGAAGGCAGAAAAACAGCUUCUGUUCAGAGGAGGCCCCCAGUGAAUUAAGGUUAAAAGGAUUUGCCCUUGCAGGACCCCAGGUCUCUAAUUGGGGCCUUCAAUUCCUGUAAUCCAGAAGGAUUGAGACCAGACGCUUCUAGAUUAUUGCCAAAGCCCACAGGUGACUCAAAAGGAAAAAACAAUUAGUGCCCCAAAAACCCUUCAGAUAGAAAAGAGGUAUUUAAUGAAACCUGAAGCAGGCCCAGCCAGGGCAAGCUUCUUAGUGAAUAUUCAGCCAUUAGCAAAAGGGAAGAAAAUCUAUUUAUUUCCCUGUUCAGUUUUAAUUUCACUAAAUAUCUGAGGUUUUUCUUUCUAGGGUACAUUAAUU